CCUCCUUCGGGAGGGGAUUAGUGGCGAACGGGUGAGUAACACGUGGGCAAUCUGCCCUGCACUCUGGGACAAGCCCUGGAAACGGGGUCUAAUACCGGAUACGAGUUUCACCGGCAUCGGUGAUUCUGGAAAGCUCCGGCGGUGCAGGAUGAGCCCGCGGCCUAUCAGCUUGUUGGUGAGGUAACGGCUCACCAAGGCGACGACGGGUAGCCGGCCUGAGAGGGCGACCGGCCACACUGGGACUGAGACACGGCCCAGACUCCUACGGGAGGCAGCAGUGGGGAAUAUUGCACAAUGGGCGAAAGCCUGAUGCAGCGACGCCGCGUGAGGGAUGACGGCCUUCGGGUUGUAAACCUCUUUCAGCAGGGAAGAAGCGAAAGUGACGGUACCUGCAGAAGAAGCGCCGGCUAACUACGUGCCAGCAGCCGCGGUAAUACGUAGGGCGCAAGCGUUGUCCGGAAUUAUUGGGCGUAAAGAGCUCGUAGGCGGCUUGUCACGUCGGUUGUGAAAGCCCGGGGCUUAACCCCGGGUCUGCAGUCGAUACGGGCAGGCUAGAGUUCGGUAGGGGAGAUCGGAAUUCCUGGUGUAGCGGUGAAAUGCGCAGAUAUCAGGAGGAACACCGGUGGCGAAGGCGGAUCUCUGGGCCGAUACUGACGCUGAGGAGCGAAAGCGUGGGGAGCGAACAGGAUUAGAUACCCUGGUAGUCCACGCCGUAAACGGUGGGCACUAGGUGUGGGCAACAUUCCACGUUGUCCGUGCCGCAGCUAACGCAUUAAGUGCCCCGCCUGGGGAGUACGGCC
rnacentral:rRNA from 1 species